UACGUAGGGGGCAAGCGUUGUCCGGAAUCAUUGGGCGUAAAGAGCGUGUAGGCGGCCCGGUAAGUCCGCUGUGAAAGUCCAGGGCUCAACCCUGGGAUGCCGGUGGAUACUGUCGGGCUCGAGUCCGGAAGAGGAGUGUGGAAUUCCUGGUGUAGUGGUGAAAUGCGCAGAUAUCAGGAGGAACACCAAUGGCGAAGGCAGCACUCUGGGACGUGACUGACGCUGAGACGCGAAAGCGUGGGGAGCAAACAGG
rnacentral:rRNA from 1 species